rnacentral:rRNA from 1 species
UACGGGGGGGGCAAGCGUUGUUCGGAAUUACUGGGCGUAAAGGGCUCGUAGGCGGCCAACUAAGUCGGAUGUGAAAUCCCCAGGCUUAACCUGGGAACUGCAUCCGAUACUGGAUGGCUUGAAUCCGGGAGAGGGAUGCAGAAUUCCAGGUGUAGCGGUGAAAUGCGUAGAUAUCUGGAGGAAUACCAGUGGCGAAGGCGGCUUUCUGGGCCUGUUCUGACGCUGAGGAGCGAAAGCGUGGGGAGCAAACCGG